rnacentral:rRNA from 1 species
AUUGAACGCUGGCGGCAGGCCUAACUCAUGCAAGUCGAGCGGCAGAAGGGAGCUUGCUCCUGGAUUCAGCGGCGGACUGGUGAGUAAUGCCUAGGAAUCUGCCUGUCAGUGUGGGAUAACGUCCUGAAACGGGAACUAAUACCGCAUUCGCCCUUACGGACGACGUGGGGGAUCUUCGGACCUCACGCUAUCAGAUGAUCCUAGGUCGGAUUAGCUAGUUGGCGGGGUAAAGGCCUACCAAGGCGACGAUCCGUAACUGGUCUGAGAGGAUGAUCAGGCACACUGGAACUGAGACACGGUCCAGACUCCUACGGGAGGCAGCAGUGGGGAAUAUUGGACAAUGGGCGAAAGCCUGAUCCAGCCAUGCCGCGUGGGUGAAGAAGGUCUUCGGAUUGUAAAACACUUUAAGUGGGAAAGAAGAGCAGUAAGUUAAUACCUUGCUGUUUUGACGUUACCAACAGAAUAAGCACCGGCUAACUUCGUG